rnacentral:lncRNA from 1 species
CAGGUGGGCACUCCUGAGGCUGCACAGCGGAGGAGACCACCAACACUGCCCACCCCUGCCCACAUCCCUGGCCCAAGAGGAAACUGUAUAAGGCCUCUGGGUUCCCGUAGGGGAGGGCCCAGGAGCGGCAGGACCCCUGCACCUGAGACACCACCAGAACCUGAAGGAAACAGACCGGAUAAACAGUUCUCUGCAUCCAAAUCCCGUGGGAGGGAGAGCUAAAACUACAGAGAGGCAGACACGCCUGGGAAACCAGAAGAGACUGCACUGUGCCCACAUCCAGAUGCCAGAGGAAAACACCAAACGCCAUCUGGAACUCUGGUGCACGGAGGCUCCCGGAAAGAGCGGCGCAGAUCUUCCCGGUUGCUGCCGCCGCGGAGAGGACUUAGGCAGUACCCCACGAGCAAACUUGAGCCUUGGAACCGCAGGUAGGACCAACUUUUCCCCUGCAAGAAACCUGCCUGGUGAACUCAAGACACAGGCCCACAGGAACAGCUGAAGACCUGUAGAGAGGAAAAACUACACACCCGAAAGCAGAACACUCUGUCCCCAUAACUGGCUGAAAGAAAACAGGAAAA